GACUUCAGCGUGUUUGCAUUCAGUACAAUGGAAUGUUCUCGGGAAAGUUUGGGCAAGUUGGAAAACAAGUGAAACUUUUGUGGACUCUGGUGAGAUGGACCCGAAUUGAAUUGCGCGGAGGAUCGGAGCUGCUAACUAACAAUGUGUGCUGCCCUGGUUGGUGAGGACCAGCCUCUUUGCCCAGAUCUUCCUGAACUUGACCUUUCUGAACUUGAUGUGAAUGACCUGGACACAGACAGCUUUCUGGGUGGAUUGAAGUGGUGUAGUGACCAAUCAGAAAUCAUAUCCAACCAGUACAACAAUGAGCCCGCGAACAUAUUCGAGGCAAAGGAAGACCAGCUUGCUGUACCAUAGCAAAUGAAAGUUUUCUUAAAGCUUUCUCCUUGGUGACUUUGCAAUGUGUAAUUUAAAAGCAGAAAGCAAAGAAGAAGCAGUUUAAAACAGUAGGCUGUGCUUCUCGGCCCCAACCAGUCCUGGGGCGUAUGCUCAAUAAACUAUCCCUAUCUGACUCAGAGGGAAAAAAGU
rnacentral:lncRNA from 1 species